AGAGUUUGAUCCUGGCUCAGGAUGAACGCUAGCGGCAGGCCUAACACAUGCAAGUCGAGGGGUAACAGGAGAGCUUGCUCUUGCUGACGACCGGCGCACGGGUGAGUAACGCGUAUGCAACCUACCCUUUACAGGAGGAUAGCCCGGUGAAAACCGGAUUAAUACUCCAUAGUCUCUAUUUAUGGCAUCAUAAUAAGAGUAAACCUUUUAGGGGUAAAGGAUGGGCAUGCGUGACAUUAGAUAGUUGGUGAGGUAAUAGCUCACCAAGUCUACGAUGUCUAUGGGGUCUUAAAGGAUGAUCCCACACACUGGUACUGAGACACGGACCAGACUCCUACGGGAGGCAGCAGUGAGGAAUAUUGGUCAAUGGGCGCAAGCCUGAACCAGCCAUGCCGCGUGCAGGAAUACGGCUCUAGUAGUUGUAAACUGCUUUUAUACGGGAAGAAUGCUUUACUUUAGUAGAGAGGGACUGUACCGUACGAAUAAGGAUCGGCUAACUCCGUGCCAGCAGCCGCGGUAAUACGGAGGAUCCAAGCGUUAUCCGGAUUUAUUAGGUUUAAAGGGUACGUAGGGAAUUUAAGUCAGUGGUGAAAUCUUGCAGCUUAACUGUAAAAUAGCCAUUGAUACUGAAUUUCUUGAGUAUAGACGAAGUGGGCGGAAUAUAUCAUGUAGCGGUGAAAUGCUUAGAUAUGAUAUAGAACACCAAUUGCGAAGGCAGCUCACUAGACUAUUACUGACGCUGAUGUACGAAAGCGUGGGUAGCGAACAGGAUUAGAUACCCUGGUAGUCCACGCCGUAAACGAUGAUUACUGGUUGUAUGCGAUACACUGUAUGCGACUUUAGCGAAAGCAUUAAGUAAUCCACCUGGGGAGUACGUUCGCAAGAAUGAAACUCAAAGGAAUUGACGGGGGCCCGCACAAGCGGAGGAACAUGUGGUUUAAUUCGAUGAUGCGCGAGGAACCUUACCUGGGCUCAAACGCAAGCGCCCGACCGGGAGACCGGUUUUUCUAGCAAUAGACGCGAAGCGAGGUGCUGCAUGGCUGUCGUCAGCUCGUGCCGUGAGGUGUCGGGUUAAGUCCCAUAACGAGCGCAACCCCUAUCAUUAGUUACCAGCGAGUCAAGUCGGGGACUCUAAUGAGACUGCCACCGUAAGGUGAGAGGAAGGCGGGGAUGACGUCAAGUCAGCACGGCCCUUACGUCCAGGGCUACACACGUGUUACAAUGGCCGGUACAAAGGGCAGCUACACAGCAAUGUGAUGCUAAUCUCCAAAGCCGGUCCCAGUUCGGAUCGAAGUCUGUAACUCGACUCCGUGAAGUUGGAUUCGCUAGUAAUCGUGUAUCAGCAACGACACGGUGAAUACGUUCCCGGGCCUUGUACACACCGCCCGUCAAGCCAUGGAAGCCGGGGGUACCUGAAGUCUGU
rnacentral:rRNA from 1 species